rnacentral:rRNA from 1 species
CACUCGGCUCGUGGAUCGAUGAAGAACGCAGCAAACUGCGCGUCGAAGUGUGAACUGCAGGACACUUGAUCAUCG